CUUCAAUUUCUCCCUCUCUCUCCAUCGGCGGGUCCCUCAUCAAAGUUUCAGCUGCCACCGCCCGCAUUCAACAAUUAGAGAUUCACUCAAAUGUCAAUGACAAGGAGAUGUUGAUAAUUGUGAAAAGAGACUGCAACACGCUAGUUGUAAACAACAGUUGUAGUAACAAGUGAAACUGUGUUACAUUCUUAAAUAUUUCCUGGCCAGGUUACAAAAAUCUCCAACAUAAGAUUUCAAAUGAAUACUGACCACCUGCCAUGUCAUCUCCAUCCCUUUCUCUCUCUCCUACAUGGCAAAAAAGCCCAGGUUUAA